rnacentral:rRNA from 1 species
CAGUCGCCGCGGGAAUACGAGGGGAGCUAGCGUUAUUCGGAAUUACUGGGCGUAAAGCGCACGUAGGCGGCUUUGUAAGUUAGAGGUGAAAGCCCAGAGCUCAACUCUGGAAUUGCCUUUAAGACUGCAUCGCUUGAAUCCAGGAGAGGUGAGUGGAAUUCCGAGUGUAGAGGUGAAAUUCGUAGAUAUUCGGAAGAACACCAGUGGCGAAGGCGGCUCACUGGACUGGUAUUGACGCUGAGGUGCGAAAGCGUGGGGAGCAAACAGGAUUAGAUACCCCAGUAGUCCCUGUCUCUUAUAC